GAAAUGCGAUAAGUAAUGUGAAUUGCAGAAUUCAGUGAAUCAUCGAAUCUUUGAACGCACCUUGCGCUCCUUGGUAUUCCUUGGAGCAUGCCUGUUUGAGUAUCAUGAAAUCUUCAAAGUAAAUCUUUUGUUAACUCAAUUGGUUUCUACUUUGGUAUUGGAGGUCUUUGCAGCUUCACACCUGCUCCUCUUUGUUCAUUAGCUGGAUCUCAGUGUUAUGCUUGGUUCCACUCGGCGUGAUAAGUUAUCUAUCGCUGAGGACACUGCAAAAGGUGGCCAAGGUAAAUGCAGAUGAACCGCUUCUAAUAGUCCAUUGACUUGGACAAUACUUUUAUGAUCUGAUCUCAAAUCAGGUAGGACUACCCGCUGAACUUAAGC
rnacentral:misc_RNA from 1 species